UACGUAGGGGGCUAGCGUUGUCCGGAAUCAUUGGGCGUAAAGCGCGCGUAGGCGGCCAGAUAAGUCCGGUGUGAAAGUCACAGGCUCAACCUGUGAAUGCCGCUGGAAACUGUCUGGCUUGAGUCCGGAAGGGGCGAGUGGAAUUCCUGGUGUAGCGGUGAAAUGCGCAGAUAUCAGGAGGAACACCAAUGGCGAAGGCAGCUCGCUGGAACGGUACUGACACUGAGACGCGAAAGCGUGGGGAGCGAACAGG
rnacentral:rRNA from 1 species